GCACCCGUCGUUCAAUGGAUAGGACAUGAGCUUGCGGAGCUUAAAAUAUAGGUUCGAUUCCUAUCGGGUGCA
rnacentral:tRNA from 1 species